rnacentral:rRNA from 1 species
GAUUGGCCCAUGUCCCAUUAGCUAGUUGGUGGGGUAAUGGCUCACCAAGGCAACGAUCAGUAUCCGGCCUGAGAGGGCGGACGGACACACUGGGACUGAGACACGGCCCAGACUCCUACGGGAGGCAGCAGUGGGGAAUUGUUCGCAAUGGGCGCAAGCCUGACGACGCAACGCCGCGUGGAGGAUGAAGACCUUCGGGUCGUAAACUCCUUUCGAUCGAGACGAACAGCUUCCGGGUAAACAGUCCGGAGGUUUGACGGUACCGAGAGAAGAAGCCCCGGCUAACUCCGUGCCAGCAGCCGCGGUAAUACGGGGGGGGCAAGCGUUGUUCGGAAUUACUGGGCGUAAAGGGCUCGUAGGUGGCCAACUAAGUCAGACGUGAAAUCCCUCGGCUUAACCGGGGAACUGCGUCUGAUACUGGAUGGCUUGAGUUCGGGAGAGGGAUGCGGAAUUCCAGGUGUAGCGGUGAAAUGCGUAGAUAUCUGGAGGAACACCGGUGGCGAAGGCGGCAUCCUGGACCGACACUGACACUGAGGAGCGAAAGCCAGGGGAGCAAACGGGAUUAGAUACCCCGGUAGUCCUGGCCCUAAACGAUGAAUGCUUGGUGU